rnacentral:rRNA from 1 species
GACGAACGCUGGCGGCGUGCUUAACACAUGCAAGUCGAACGGAAAGGCCCUGCUUGCAGGGUACUCGAGUGGCGAACGGGUGAGUAACACGUGGGUGAUCUGCCCUGCACUUCGGGAUAAGCCUGGGAAACUGGGUCUAAUACCGGAUAGGAGCCAUUUUUAGUGUGACGGUUGGAAAGUUUUUUUCGGUGUAGGAUGAGCUCGCGGCCUAUCAGCUUGUUGGUGGGGUAAUGGCCUACCAAGGCGGCGACGGGUAGCCGGCCUGAGAGGGUGGACGGCCACAUUGGGACUGAGAUACGGCCCAGACUCCUACGGGAGGCAGCAGUGGGGAAUAUUGCACAAUGGGCGCAAGCCUGAUGCAGCGACGCCGCGUGGGGGAUGACGGCCUUCGGGUUGUAAACUCCUUUCGCUAGGGACGAAGCUUUUUGUGACGGUACCUAGAUAAGAAGCACCGGCUAACUACGUG